rnacentral:rRNA from 1 species
UGCCUUGAGGCGUGGCUUCCGGAGCUAACGCGUUAAAUCGACCGCCUGGGGAGUACGGCCGCAAGGUUAAAACUCAAAUGAAUUGACGGGGGCCCGCACAAGCGGUGGAGCAUGUGGUUUAAUUCGAUGCAACGCGAAGAACCUUACCUACUCUUGACAUCCAGAGAACUUUCCAGAGAUGCAUUGGUGCCUUCGGGAACUCUGAGACAGGUGCUGCAUGGCUGUCGUCAGCUCGUGUUGUGAAAUGUUGGGUUAAGUCCCGCAACGAGCGCAACCCUUAUCCUUUGUUGCCAGCGGUUCGGCCGGGAACUCAAAGGAGACUGCCAGUGAUAAACUGGAGGAAGGUGGGGAUGACGUCAAGUCAUCAUGGCCCUUACGAGUAGGGCUACACACGUGCUACAAUGGCAUAUACAAAGAGAAGCGACCUCGCGAGAGCAAGCGGACCUCAUAAAGUAUGUCGUAGUCCGGAUUGGAGUCUGCAACUCGACUCCAUGAAGUCGGAAUCGCUAGUAAUCGUAGAUCAGAAUGCUACGGUGAAUACGUUCCCGGGCCUUGCACUCCC